rnacentral:lncRNA from 1 species
GUAUGUAUGUAUGUAAUUACCGUGAAAGAUAAUAUAGAGAAGGCAAGAGAAGCAUAGAAUUCUGGGUAUAUGUUCUUGAUUAGUUGUGGUUUCAAUUGUACAUAUAAUUACAAGCAUGUUGAAUUACUGUACAAAGAAUACAUGCUUAAAAGGAAAACGAAUCGUAUUGAUUUGAUUAAUCAUUUAAAUUGAAGAUUGAUUUUGAUGUAUCAGAAAGUGAUUUGGUAAGAAAUAUGUUUGUGAUUUGCUUGUGUAACGUUUAUCACGAUAUAAUAUAAUAAAUAGAUGUCUAUCUUUUUUUUAUCCGAAAUGAUAUAUAGCAUGAUUUCAUUGAUAAACAAAUGGUUACAAGGGGCGCUAAAAUGGAUACAUAUAUUUUAGUGACCAAAUCCUUGAUUUUGAAUAUCAAUUCGCACAAACAACAAAAAGAAUAGAACUUCUAAACAUCUAUCACACAAAACAAAUGUAAUAGUACAAAUCUGUUACAGUGAUAAUAGACGCAACAGACAUAUACAAAGCACACAUCAAGCCAUCUCUAUGUUGAGGAUAUUAAACUCACAUCGAGAAAAAAAAAAGGAUUUUGUAUGUGCUUAUAAGUUAGUAAACUACUCCUUAUAUUAUCAACUUGCCAAUACAUGUUGCUCCUAUGGAGAAUCUUCUGGGACGACUAGGACAAAACUUGCUUCUGAGUGUCCUUCUAGUGUUCAUCUACCCUUAGCGUGCCUUUUGAGAUGAGUUAUUAAGUUCGUAAAAAAACUUUGCACUGCCAGUGUCCGUGCCUUUAUUGUUGCACGUUUGGAUUGGGCGGAAUAGUGCAUCAUGAUGAUGACUGCGUGCAUCUGAAGGUAUAACUUGAGCUUCCGGGUUGCAACAACUAUUGCCAAAGUUAGCUUUUGAAUUU